rnacentral:sRNA from 1 species
UUUUCUUAUCAUUCUCAUUCUCUUUCCCAUGCAAUCCAUACACAAUCCCAAUCCCAAAUACAAGUCUCCACCUAGUCCUAGCUAACCCAAAAAGCGUGGGCUAGGUCUACAUGAAAGACUGCUCUUGUCGGCUCAUACCUAACACGUUAUACCAAGCUCAAUCGAAAAAGACCUCACAAUCACACACAAAUGAUCUUUGGUUUGAAAUAAGGCUAGGCUAAGGGUAUGGGAAACUGCUCUAAAAAUGAGAGUCAGCUACUUGGAUUAACAGAGGGUGGUGAAGUGAAUAAGAUAAUCCAAGUAUGUAUAUGGUAGCCAUGACUUCACAAACAAUGCAUAGACAUGAUAAUUGCAAAUUCAGUUCAAGUUCUAAUAGAUAGGGAAUGGCAUCAGAUAAGCGAGUUUUGAAUCAAAGCAAUAUAGUCAAGUUGUAAAUUCAAAGCAGGGUGCGGUCUUACUUCAGAGAUACAAUCGGUUAUGCAACAGAGAACGAACAACCUGAACAUUGAACUUACUUCAUUGAAUUAAAACAUGCUUAUCGGUUUGAAAUCAUCAUUUUCCCCUAUGCAAAUGAGCAAUUCAAAAUACAAACACUCUAUAUACAAUCCUAAAAUGAAAUGCAAUCUACAUGACACUCAGUUUUUGUGAAAUCAUUUUCUGAA